rnacentral:rRNA from 1 species
GCGCGCGCAGGCGGUUUCUUAAGUCUGAUGUGAAAGCCCACGGCUCAACCGUGGAGGGUCAUUGGAAACUGGGGAACUUGAGUGCAGAAGAGAAAAGCGGAAUUCCACGUGUAGCGGUGAAAUGCGUAGAGAUGUGGAGGAACACCAGUGGCGAAGGCGGCUUUUUGGUCUGUAACUGACGCUGAGGCGCGAAAGCGUGGGGAGCAAACAGGAUUAUAUACCCUGGUAGUCCACGC